UAAUUAAUGUUGAUAGAGAAAAGUACUGUGAACCAUUUCAGUAAAGAGAUAGAUUGUCGUUGGCUGUGAGCAAUCUUCUGAGAUAUCAUAGGAAGUUCGCUCUGGAGUUUCUAAGCUGAAAUCUUACGAUGUGUAGGUUUGGACGUAUAAGAUGCGUUAAAUCUUUUGAGGUGGUCUAAUUAAAGUUUAUUAGGCUACUAGGGUGGUACCGCGGAAUUAUAGUCUUUCGUCCCUAGC
rnacentral:ncRNA from 1 species